GAUGAACGCUGGCGGCGUGCCUAAUACAUGCAAGUCGAGCGAACGGACGAGAAGCUUGCUUCUCUGAUGUUAGCGGCGGACGGGUGAGUAACACGUGGAUAACCUACCUAUAAUACUGGGAUAACUUCGGGAAACCGGAGCUAAUACCGGAUAAUAUUUUGAACCGCAUGGUUCAAAAGUUAAAGACGGUCUUUCUGUCACUUAUAGAUGUAUCCUCGCUGCAUUAGCUAGUUGGUAAGGUAACGGCUUACCAAGGCAACGAUGCAUAGCCGACCUGAGAGGGGGAUCGGCCACACUGGAACUGAGACACGGUCCAGACUCCUACGGGAGGCAGCAGUAGGGAAUCUUCCGCAAUGGGCGAAAGCCUGACGGAGCAACGCCGCGUGAGUGAUGAAGGUCUUCGGAUCGUAAAACUCUGUUAUUAGGGAAGAACAUAUGUGUAAGUAACUGUGCACAUCUUGACGGUACCUAAUCAGAAAGCCACGGCUAACUACGUG
rnacentral:rRNA from 1 species